rnacentral:tRNA from 1 species
GCCUGGAUAGUUUAGUGGCAAAACAAACCCUUGGUAAGGGUUAGAGCGCGGGUCCGAUUCCCGCUCCAGGCUCAA